CUGGCGGCGGCCUAACACAUGCAAGUCGAGCGGAAACGAGUUAUCUGAACCUUCGGGGAACGAUAACGGCGUCGAGCGGCGGACGGGUGAGUAAUGCCUAGGAAAUUGCCCUGAUGUGGGGGAUAACCAUUGGAAACGAUGGCUAAUACCGCAUGAUGCCUACGGGCCAAAGAGGGGGACCUUCGGGCCUCUCGCGUCAGGAUAUGCCUAGGUGGGAUUAGCUAGUUGGUGAGGUAAGGGCUCACCAAGGCGACGAUCCCUAGCUGGUCUGAGAGGAUGAUCAGCCACACUGGAACUGAGACACGGUCCAGACUCCUACGGGAGGCAGCAGUGGGGAAUAUUGCACAAUGGGCGCAAGCCUGAUGCAGCCAUGCCGCGUGUGUGAAGAAGGCCUUCGGGUUGUAAAGCACUUUCAGUCGUGAGGAAGGUAGUGUCGUUAAUAGCGGCAUUACUUGACGUUAGCGACAGAAGAAGCACCGGCUAACUCCGUGCCAGCAGCCGCGGUAAUACGGAGGGUGCGAGCGUUAAUCGGAAUUACUGGGCGUAAAGCGCAUGCAGGUGGUUUGUUAAGUCAGAUGUGAAAGCC
rnacentral:rRNA from 1 species